rnacentral:rRNA from 1 species
CUGGCUCAGGAUGAACGCUGGCGGCGUGCCUAACACAUGCAAGUCGAGCGAAGCGAUUUCGAGGAGUUUUCGGAUUGGAAUUGGAAUUGACUGAGCGGCGGACGGGUGAGUAACGCGUGGGUAACCUGGCCUCGAUACAGGGGGAUAACAGUUAGAAAUGACUGCUAAUACCGCAUAAGCGCACAGGACCGCAUGGUCGAAGUGUGAAAAACUCCGGUGGUAUGAGAUGGACCCGCGUCUGAUUAGCUAGUUGGUGGGGUAACGGCCUACCAAGGCGACGAUCAGUAGCCGACCUGAGAGGGUGACCGGCCACAUUGGGACUGAGACACGGCCCAAACUCCUACGGGGAGGCAGCAGGUGGGGAAUAUUGCACAAUGGGGGAAACCCUGAUGCAGCGACGCCGCGUGAGUGAAGAAGUAUUUCGGUAUGUAAAGCUCUAUCAGCAGGGAAGAAAAUGACGGUACCUGACUAAGAAGCCCCGGCUAACUACGUGCCAGCAGCCGCGGUAA